GAUACCUUUCGUUUGUUUUCUUUUUCGGAUGAAUCCAGCGAUAAGCGCUUUUGGAUUUAACGAUGAGGACGGACGUGGGGAAGCUGGUGCUGUUACAUCUGUUAGUGAUGGAGCUUCAUGCCGCUGACGGAUCGCAUAAGGAGUCCCAGUGUGAGGCGGGCCAGUUCCGGUGUCACAACGGGAGGUGCGUCCCGAGUCUCUGGAGGUGCGACGAUGACGACGACUGCUCGGACAACAGCGACGAGGAGAGCUGCCGAUGGUAUUGACCAGAGGAGGGGAAGGGGAGGACCAAUCGGAACAGACGGCCUUUAACCAACGGCGUCAGAAAGCUUUUCUGGCUCUCUCAACGCAGCAUUCCCUGUUUUAGGGGCAAAGGCUGCGCUCCGGCAUCGAGUGUGCUUGUCUUCGUACCAGAGGCGUGUUUAAUCCCGGACUCAUCACACAAACCAUUGAAAUUAAUCAACUGGAAGAAAAGCUUGCACUGUUUCUCCCAGCAGACUGCAUGGGACUUUACCCUUAAAAAAUAGAGUAGAGACUAGAGGGUGGAGAGCAGAGAGUGGGAGAGUGUGUUGUCGGUCCCCUACUCUAACAAAGACUGCACGCUGCUCUUCUUGAUUCAUUCACUUCUCCAUUCUUCUGAAACUCUAUAAUUGAAGAUGACACACUCUCUUCCUGUUAGAAAAGGGCCCAGACCUCAAUUGCACUGAAUCAAAUUGGUAAGAGUUAGGGGGGAUGCGCAAACCCACUUUUUCCCCAUCAAAGUGUACGGGGCUGUACAGAGCAGGUGUGUGUGUCCAGGUCCUUCCACACCCAAAAACACCAGUCACAUUAGCUAGGCGUGAGCGUAGCUUCAUACACAGCAUAUAGACGGCCAUGCUUAUCAACGCUACAAUGGGCUUCACACACCCCAGCCCCCCAACGAGUUUCCCACAAGGCGCUUUUAGGGUUGCAUUACCUGGAGCGCAUUGACCUCUUGGUCACUACGCCUGCUUCUGAGUUUUUUUUUGCA